GAGCAUGGGGUUUAAUUCGAAGCAACGCGAAGAACCUUACCUAAGCGUGACAUCCCAAUGACAUCUCCUUAAUCGGAGAGUGCCCUUCGGGGACAUUGGUGACAGGUGGUGCAUGGUUGUCGUCAGCUCGUGUCGUGGGAUGUUGGGUUAAGUCCCGCAACGAGCGCAACCCUUGUCUUUAGUUGCCAUCAUUAAGUUGGGCACUCUAGAGAGACUGCCAGGGAUAACCUGGAGGAAGGUGGGGAUGACGUCAAAUCAUCAUGCC
rnacentral:rRNA from 1 species